rnacentral:rRNA from 1 species
AUUGAACGCUGGCGGCAGGCUUAACACAUGCAAGUCGAGCGAGCGGCGGACGGGUGAGUCAUGUCUGGGACACUGCCUGAUGGAGGGGGAUAACUACUGGAAACGGUAGCUAAUAACGCAUACCAGCAGAUGUGCCCAGAUGGGAUUAGCUAGUAGGUGGGGGAAUGGCGCACCCAGGCGACGAUCCCUAGCUGGUCUGAGAGGAUGACCAGCCACCCUGGGAAUGAGACACGGUCCAGACUCCUACGGGAGGCAGCAGUGGGGAAUAUUGCGCAAUGGGCGCAAGCCUGAUGAAGCCAUGCCGCGUGUGUGAAGAAGGCCUUCGGGUUGUAAAGCAAUUUCAGCUAAGAGGCGUUACUCGCAGAAGAAGCACCGGCUAACUCCGGGCCAGCAGCCGCGGUAAUAC